GCGGAAGUAGUUCAGCGGUAGAAUGCCUCCUUGCCAAGGAGGAGGUCGCGA
rnacentral:tRNA from 1 species